GAUAGCACCCGGUUGCGCGAGCUGGUCACCGUAAAUCUUCACACCGAGCAUCUUGGGCUUGGAGUCACGCCCAUUCUUGGUACUGCCCGACCCUUUCUUGUGCGCGGCCUCGAUGACGAGUCCAGCUGCGCUGUGGUAUGACACGGAGGUCUCCGCGGUGGUGGCAACGCGAGACUCUCCAGCAAAGAAGACAGAGGAAGAUGAGACCGAGAGGCCCGAGAAGAGGGUGGAGAGCGACGCCAUGGAUGAUGCCCUCUUGUGUGCGUGGUGAUGGCGAUGAUGCAGCAAAAUGCGAGUCACCGACUUCGCAAAUCAGCUGAAAUCAUAAGCAGACUGAGCCCUCG
rnacentral:lncRNA from 1 species